AUGUCUGCUCUUCUGCUUCCUUUAGGUACAAUCCAGGCCAUCGAUAGUCGCUGUCGAGCUUUCUUCUGGGCAGGUCAGGAUACGAUUUCUGGGGGUCAGUGUAAAGUUGCGUGGGAUGCGGUUUGUGCUCCCUUCUCUCGUGGGGGCCUUGGGUUUCUAUCGUUGCACCAGUUCAACCAGUGUCUUCUCCUCAAACAAUUGCUCAAAAUCCACUCCCACUGCAUAACCUCCGAGCCAAACCACCUGGCCUCCACCUACGGAUGGAGCCACCACCGUGACCUUGGCGACCCAGCGCGUCUUGACACUGUCAUCUGGCGCGACAUGGCGAAGGGUCUUCCUCUGCUUCGUGCUAUCACCAGGGUCAUCCCUGGCGAUGGUCGGUCCACGGCUUUCUGGCUAGAUUUAUGGAUCCCUAACCACACCACCACUCUAGCAGUUCAGUUCCCGGCCAUUUUUUCCCACACACUUAGACCUAACGCUUCCAUUGCAGCUGUUCUAGUCCACCCACAACUAAACACCUACCUCGCCCCACGACUCUCACAUGCUGCAGAAAGCGAUCUCGAAUCUAUCCGCUAUAUCCUUGCCACGUUUUCCUUGAAUGAACAGGUACCUGACCGGAGAAUCAGUAGACUCGAAGGUAAACCGCUGACCACGGCCUUCCCAUACGGGGCACUAUGGAUAGACAGGCCGAUGGACCCGAUGGCGCCUGCAAUCUGGAAGAACUAUGCCCCAAACAAGUGCCGGCUGUUCCUAUGGCUAGCGCACAAAGACAGGCUCUACACCAACGAUCGAAGAUUCAGGAGGGGCAUUGCGACUACUGCAACUUGUCCCUUCUGCAACGACUCCGAGACUAUCAACCACCUGCUUUUCUCAUGUGCUCAAACUCAUCUGAUUUGGGCUGAACUCAACUCUCUCUGCCAUACUAUGCCUGACUCCAUCACAACCUGCUGGGGCUCACUGAUGAAUGACAAAAUCCGAUCUACGGUGAUCAUCGCCAUCCUGUGGAAUAUCUGGAAGCGAAGAAAUGCUAAAGUGUUCAGAGCUGAAAUACAGGAUGCGUACAAGCUGCUCCGCGCCUGUGCGGACGAUCUCAUGUUAUGGUCUAAUAGAUGCUCCACCGAGCUAAAGAAAUCUCUUCUCCUAGAGUGGAGAUCAAUGUUGUUGCUCUUAGUCGGGAGAAUGUAA
rnacentral:rRNA from 1 species